rnacentral:rRNA from 1 species
CCUACGGGCGGCAGCAGUGGGGAAUAUUGGGCAAUGGGCGCAAGCCUGACCCAGCAACGCCGCGUGAAGGAAGAAGGCUUUCGGGUUGUAAACUUCUUUUAAGGGGGAAGAGCAGAAGACGGUACCCCUUGAAUAAGCCACGGCUAACUACGUGCCAGCAGCCGCGGUAAUACGUAGGUGGCAAGCGUUGUCCGGAUUUACUGGGUGUAAAGGGCGUGCAGCCGGAGAGACAAGUCAGAUGUGAAAUCCACGGGCUCAACCCGUGAACUGCAUUUGAAACUGUUGAUCUUGAGUACUGGAGAGGCAGACGGAAUUCCUAGUGUAGCGGUGAAAUGCGUAGAUAUUAGGAGGAACACCAGUGGCGAAGGCGGUCUGCUGGACAGCAACUGACGGUGAGGCGCGAAAGCGUGGGGAGCAAACAGGAUUAGAUACCCCUGUAGUC